UACGUAGGGGCGAGCGUUGUCCGGAAUCAUUGGGCGUAAAGAGCUCGUAGGCGGUUCAGUAAGUCAGGUGUGAAAGCUCCGAGCUCAACUCGGAGAGGCCACCUGAUACUGCUGUGACUAGAAUCCAGUAGGGGAGUGUGGAACUCCUGGUGUAGCGGUGAAAUGCGCAGAUAUCAGGAGGAACACCGAUGGCGAAGGCAGGUCUCUGGGCCAUUACUGACGCUGAGGAGCGAAAGCGUGGGGAGCGAACAGG
rnacentral:rRNA from 1 species